rnacentral:rRNA from 1 species
GACGAACGCUGGCGGCGUGCUUAACACAUGCAAGUCGAACGGUGAAGCACCUUCCUUUUGGUGGGUGUGGAUGAGUGGCGAACGGGUGAGUAACACGUGAGUAACCUGCCCCCUUCUUCUGGAUAACCGCAUGAAAGUGUGGCUAAUACGGGAUAUUCUGGGUCUGUCGCAUGGCGGGCCUGGGAAAGAUAUUGUUUCGGUGGGGGAUGGGCUCGCGGUCCAUCAGCUUGUUGGUGGGGUGAUGGCCUACCAAGGCGGUGACGGGUAGCCGGCCUGAGAGGGUGGACGGCCACACUGGGACUGAGACACGGCCCAGACUCCUACGGGAGGCAGCAGUGGGGAAUAUUGCACAAUGGGCGCAAGCCUGAUGCAGCGACGCCGCGUGAGGGAUGGAGGCCUUCGGGUUGUAAACCUCUUUCGCCAGUGAAGCAGGCCUGUCCCUUUUGUGGGUGGGUUGACGGUAGCUGGAUAAGAAGCGCCGGCUAACUACGUG